UACGUAGGUGGCAAGCGUUGUCGGGAUUUACUGGGCGUAAAGAGCGCGCAGGCGGUCGUUCAAGUCGCGUGUGAAAGCCCCCGGCUCAACUGGGGAGGGUCACGCGAUACUGAUCGACUGGAAGGCAGGAGAGGGUAGUGGAAUUCCCGGUGUAGUGGUGAAAUGCGUAGAUAUCGGGAGGAACACCAGUGGCGAAGGCGACUACCUGGCCUGUUCUUGACGCUGAGGCGCGAAAGCUAGGGGAGCAAACGGG
rnacentral:rRNA from 1 species